GAACUGUGUCAGGUGGAAUUCAAUGGCCACAACCUCCUUUCUCAUAACUUCAACUAAACUUAAUGAUCCCAGCAGACGGGUUAGGGAGACCUCCUGCUUCCCUGAAAGUCCUCAGCAGUUACAAGGGGACAUGCAGAAGUUCUAACUGCCAGACAGCAUGUUACAUUUCCUCUUCCACUGCUGACUACAUACCUCGUAACAGGAGAAGCAUUAAUUUGACCUUGAAUGUGAUCUCUUAGCAACAGGAAGGUAUAAAAACAUCAUAUUUCACUUGAAGAUGAAUCACAUUAAGGAAGAAAUAAAAGUAUCAAGGAAAGAGAAAUGAAGCACGGGCAUUUGUGAAUUAAAAUUAGUGAAU